AGUUUUGUAAUCAAAACUCGCAACUGCCCUGUACAAUAAGUUUCCAAGACCAUAGUGUGUUCUUUACUAUGAUCACAAUGCUUCAUAAACUGUAGCUUAAAACUGAGACAUAAAAGGUCAAAUAUCAACUAAAUAUUUCUGU